rnacentral:rRNA from 1 species
GUGGGGAAUAUUGGACAAUGGGCGAAAGCCUGAUCCAGCCAUGCCGCGUGUGUGAAGAAGGUCUUCGGAUUGUAAAGCACUUUAAGUUGGGAGGAAGGGCAGUAAGUUAAUACCUUGCUGUUUUGACGUUACCGACAGAAUAAGCACCGGCUAACUCUGUGCCAGCAGCCGCGGUAAUACAGAGGGUGCAAGCGUUAAUCGGAAUUACUGGGCGUAAAGCGCGCGUAGGUGGUUUUGUAAGUUGGAGGUGAAAUCCCCGGGCUCAACCUGGGAACUGCCUCCAAAACUGCAUGACUAGAGUACGGUAGAGGGUAGUGGAAUUUCCGGUGUAGCGGUGAAAUGCGUAGAUAUAGGAAGGAACACCAGUGGCGAAGGCGACUACCUGGACUGAUACUGACACUGAGGUGCGAAAGCGUGGGGAGCAAACAGGAUUAGAAACCCCGGUAGUCC